CACGUGGCUAGUGUGUCGAUGAAGAGCGUAGCCAGCUACGUGAAUUAAUGUGAACUGCAUACUGCUUUGAACAUCGACAUCUUGAACGC
rnacentral:rRNA from 1 species